GCAUCAUAUGAUUUUCUUGCAAUUCCAUUAGCCUCUGUGGCUCUAUUCGUCCAUUUCCUCACAUGUUUUAUGGUUUCUGUGUCACGGAAAAGGACCCUUUUUCAUCUUUUGCUUUUUAGGAAUAAAGGCUGGAAAUAUAUAGAUAGAUAGGGCGCUGUGCACCUUUAUCAGCCAAAAGAUUUUCAGCAAGAUAUUAGGAAUAGUUGUCUGGCAAAUGGGUUUUGAAAACUAAAGGGUUUUUUUCUCUCCUGGUUUCAACAAGACAAUGAAGUUGGUUGCUUUUGACAGCGUGUCUGUUGGUGUUUUGGGAAUUCUUUGCGGAAAACAUGCUUAA
rnacentral:lncRNA from 1 species